CUGCAGACCUGGAAGAGGUAGCUCAGAAAUGUGGCUUGUCUUACAAGGCCCUGGUUGCCCUGAGGCGGGUGCUGCUGGCUCAGUUCUCGGCUUUCCCCGUGAAUGGCGCUGAUCUCUACGAGGAACUGAAGACCUCCACUGCCAUCCUGUCCACUGGCAUUGGCAGUCUUGAUAAACUGCUUGAUGCUGGUCUCUAUACUGGAGAAGUGACUGAAAUUGUAGGAGGCCCAGGUAGCGGCAAAACUCAGGCAGAAGCUCUCCGGAGGAUCCAGGUGGUGCAUGCAUUUGA
rnacentral:lncRNA from 1 species